CUUCCCUCCGAAGGGUAGACGGGCCUGCUGGGAUACUGAGGGAGGACUGGGUCAGGCGCUGGGCGGGGUUUUCGCAGCUCCGCGGAACGCCGGGAAAGGGUCACGUCCAGAUGAGGGAUCCGGUUCCGGUGCAGACGGCGGCCUCGGCGUUGCCGCGGCAGUGCGGUUGGCCGGUACCUGGGUGGUGAGCUCGCGUUGUUGGAGGGGCUGGAGUUGUUCUCGGUCCUGUGUUGUCCGCUUAGUUCACGAGACGCUCUCGUCUGUGUGGUCGGGGCUUCGCUGACUUUCCCAGCCUACUUAAGCCCCUGGGCCUGGGCCCCAGGAAAGAGUCAUUGAUUCCAGGUAAAUCAGAGGAACAGACAUCAUGAACAGAAAUAAUACAGGAAGUGAUGUGAUGCCGAAGUUUAACUGUUGUUCCAGAAGUCCAGCAUCUGUGGCUCAUAACUUUAGGAACUGUAUCAUUUGCAAGGUCACCUAACUUUUACUCAUAUUGGGUUGGCCAGAAAGUUCACUCAGUUUUCCUGUAAGCUGAGAGAACCCGCACGGACUUUUUGGCCAACCCAAUACAGGAGAAGAAUUUGCAAACUGAUUAUGUGAGGGUCCGAAAUGUAAAACCGAG
ensembl:lncRNA